rnacentral:rRNA from 1 species
UAGCCAUGGGCAGGUUGAAGGUUGGGUAACACUAACUGGAGGACCGAACCGACUAAUGUUGAAAAAUUAGCGGAUGACCUGUGGCUGGGGGUGAAAGGCCAAUCAAACCGGGAGAUAGCUGGUUCUCCCCGAAAGCUAUUUAGGUAGCGCCUCGUGAAUUCAUCUCCGGGGGUAGAGCACUGUUUCGGCUAGGGGGCCAUCCCGGCUUACCAACCCGAUGCAAACUGCGAAUACCGGAGAAUGUUAUCACGGGAGACACACGGCGGGUGCUAACGUCCGUCGUGAAGAGGGAAACAACCCAGACCGCCAGCUAAGGUCCCAAAGUCAUGGUUAAGUGGGAAACGAUGUGGGAAGGCCCAGACAGCCAGGAUGUUGGCUUAGAAGCAGCCAUCAUUUAAAGAAAGCGUAAUAGCUCACUGGUCGAGUCGGCCUGCGCGGAAGAUGUAACGGGGCUAAACCAUGCACCGAAGCUGCGG